GGGGCCGUGGCUCAGUGGUAGAGCAUCUGUUUAAUACGCAGAAGGUCCCAGGUUCGAUCCGUGGCGGCAUCU